rnacentral:rRNA from 1 species
AACGAACGCUGGCGGCAUGCCUAACACAUGCAAGUCGAACGAGACCUUCGGGUCUAGUGGCGCACGGGUGCGUAACGCGUGGGAACCUGCCCUUAGGUUCGGAAUAACUCCCCUAAAGGGGUGCUAAUACCGGUUAAUGUCUUCGGACCAAAGAUUUAUCGCCUUUGGAUGGGCCCGCGUUGGAUUAGCUAGUUGGUAGGGUAAAAGCCUACCAAGGCGACGAUCCAUAGCUGGUCUGAGAGGAUGAUCAGCCACACUGGGACUGAGACACGGCCCAGACUCCUACGGGAGGCAGCAGUGGGGAAUAUUGGACAAUGGGCGAAAGCCUGAUCCAGCAAUGCCGCGUGAGUGAUGAAGGCCUUAGGGUUGUAAAGCUCUUUUACCCGGGAUGAUAAUGACAGUACCGGGAGAAUAAGCUCCGGCUAACUCCGUG